rnacentral:sRNA from 1 species
CCAGGGACUCACGUCCCUGGCUAUUUACUUUCGCCGCUUCGCGGCU